rnacentral:lncRNA from 1 species
CACAACCUAGUCCAAAGUCCAAACAACUCCCAAUCUACCUCUCUUAUCUUCUUCAUCAGAAAACUUUUUAACCUAACGCCGCCCUUGAGCAAUCUGCCAUUUUUACGGGGGAGACAGCUUCAAAUCACCACCAAACUUCAACCACAUAAUCCCCAUAGUCCUUUAAAUACUAAAUCACAACCAAUUUUCCUAAGUCUUUUUCGCUUCUCUUUAAUUUCAUAUUUUAAAACAAGAACCCUAGACUUGUGUCGUCCUUCAAUUCUUCAACUAAGAGCUCUGCCUCUAAAUUUUUGAAGAUGAUUUUGGGCCAAAAUGAAUGUUAGACGUUUGUUCUCACAAGAACAAAUCGACUAACACUCCCUUUUCGCCUCAAAUCGGAAAACAUUGGAAGUCCGUUCAAGCCUUUGUCACGUUUUGCCUAUUUUAGGUAUAUCUUUCCUUCUCAUCAUUUUUCUCUGCCUUUCUCAUGUUCAUCUUCCUUCGUCUUCUUCCCUUUUAUCUCCCACAUUUUCUGUCCGUCUUUGUAUGCAUUUUAAGUUGUAUUUGUCUGUUUCUUCACAUUUCGUUCUUCUUCUUCUUGUGUUAGUUCAAUUUUAUCUAUGUUACAUGUUUAAGAUUUGGGUCAUAUUAGUAGUUAUUAGCAUGUUAGUAUAAUUUACAGUUUCUUCUUUAUUAUUUUUCAUUGAUUUUCAUUUUUGGCCUGUUAUUAUUUGCAUUUCUUCGUUUGGUCUGUCCCUUUCGUUUUCUUUUGAUGCCAGAAUUUAUGGGCUCACCUAUUUGCAGUCUGUGACUCUUUUAUCAUAAUUUUGGCUUCAAGGGUUUAGAAGCCCAAAGGCAUAGGACCUUCCUACACAGCAGCCCAAAGGCCUUGGGUCAAUUUGACUGUUUGUCAGGUUAAAGUAAAAAUAGGGCUCCUAAAGUGUAAUUGAAGAAUUGUAGGUUAGGGAAUCUUCAAUAGCUGAAUAGGGAUUGGGACUGAUUCAGAAAAAUAAUUUUUAAACUAAGGGUACUUGAGCAAAAAUAAAAAUACAAAGAGGUAUAAUGUCGAAAAAGUUGAAUUUAUUUUGCUGCCCUAAAAGUUUUCCUAUAAAGGCAUUCUUACUUCAGGAUCAAGGCAAUAAAAUUUUAGAGACCAAAAUUCUGGAAAAAGUUAAAAAGGCUAGACCUGAAAAGCUUUGAAAAAGAAUCAACAUUGAAAUCCCUGCAACUUCGGAAAGCAACUCAAAAUUCUACUUAGUUUUGGUGUUCUUGGUUAGCUAGAAUUUCUGAAUCAAAGAUCUUGCACCUGGUUUAAAAUGGCUUGAAUUUUGGGUUGUAAAGUCUGGUUUUGAGCCGUUGUGAAAAUACUAUCCCAUUGCUAGUUUCUAAGCUGAUUUCUGCUGCAGUUGUCUGCCGAUUCUUCACUUCUUUCGCUUCCUUCUUAAUUUCCAGGUAUUACACUCGAUCAUGAGAUGUAAAGCUGAAAUGUUGUUGGUUUAGGAUGGUUGAAAUAUAAAUCAGCGCUUUUUUAGUUCAUCAUGUGUUCUUUCUAUCAGUCUCCUUCCUUAUUUGUUUAAGGAUUUUUUUAUGUCAUUAUGAAGAAUGUGUAAUGAGUUGUAUUUAGAUUUCACAUUUUGUCAUUUUGAUUUCCUUUGGGAUUAAAUAUUUCUGUCAUAUUUUGAGGUGGAUUACUAUAAGGUAGUUUUGGUGGAGAUGGAAACUCCCUUUUGUUAGGCUUUUUGGUUAUACUGGUUCAAGCUGUUAAGAAAUUACAAGGCCAUAACUAAUUAAUGUGUGGUUCUCAUCUCUUUCAGAUGUUUGUGUUAGGAAUUCCAAAAAAAUUCAGUACAUGCUCUUACAAUUUUAAUAUCUGAUUUGAAUAGCUAUAAGGUUAGUUCCAUGAAGAUUAUGCAAUAAUUUUGAUUUUUCAAAUGCAAAAGGUUAUGUGUUUUUUAGCAUGAAAUGUCCUGUGUUG